CCUACGGUGUGUUGCAGUGAGGAAUAUUGGUCACUGGGAGAGAUCCUGAACCAGCCAAGCCGCGUGAGGGAAGACGGCCCUAUGGGUUGUAAACCUCUUUUGUCGGAGAACAAAACCAGGGACGUGUCCCGGAAUGAGUGUAUCCGAAAAAACAGCAUCGGCUAACUCCGUGCCAGCAGCCGCGGUAAUACGGAGGAUGAGAGCGUCAUCCGGAUUUAUUGGGUUGGACGGGUGCGUAGUCGGGCCGUUAAGUCCGCGGUAAAAGUGCGGGGCUCAACCCCGUCGAGCCGUUGAAACGGGCAGACGUGAGUUGGCGAGAAGUACGCGGAAUGCGCGGUGUAGCGGUGUAAUGCAUAGAUAGCGCGCAGAAAUCCGAUUGCGAAGGCAGCGUACCGGCGCCAGACUGACGCUGAGGCACGAAAGCGUGGGGAUCGAACAGGAUUAGAUACCCCAGUAGUC
rnacentral:rRNA from 1 species